GAAAGUAAACAAGGGCGCAUGGAGGAUGCCUAGGCUCUCGGAGGCGAAGAAGGACGUGAUAAGCUGCGAAAAGUUACGGUAAGGCGCAAAUAGCCGUAGACCCGUAAAUAUCCGAAUGGGGCAACCCGGCCAGCAAUGGCCAUACCGCCAAGCGGUAAGCCAACGCGGGGAACUGAAACAUCUAAGUACCCGCAGGAAAAGAAAAUAACCAUGAUUCCGCCAGUAGUGGCGAGCGAACGCGGAACAGCCCAAACCACUCGUGUUACGGCACGAGUGGGGUAGAAGGAUCCACGAUACGGCAAGAAAUAAGUUAGCAGAAUACGAUGGAAAUCGUAGCCAAAGACGGUGACAGCCCAGUACGCGAAAACCGACAGAAGCCCAGUGGACACCUGAGUAACCCAGGACACGAGAAAUCCGGGGCGAAUCAGCGGGGCCCAUCCCGUAAGGCUAAAUACUCCCGAGAGACCGAUAGCGAACCAGUACUGUGAAGGAAAGGUGAAAAGAACCUCGAACAGAGGAGUGAAACAGACCCUGAAACCAUGCGCCUACAAGCGGUCGGAGCAUGUUAAAAUGUGACGGCGUGCCUUUUGCAUAAUGAACCUACGAGUUACUCUCGCUGGCAAGGUUAAGCGAUUCAGUCGCGCAGCCGAAGCGAAAGCAAGUCCGAAUAAGGCGUACAGUCAGCGGGAGUAGACGCGAAACCAAGUGAUCUACCCUUGGUCAGGUUGAAGGUUGGGUAACACCAACUGGAGGACCGCACCGAUAAGCGUUGAAAAGCUUACGGAUGAACUGAGGGUAGGAGUGAAAGGCCAAUCAAACUUGGAGAUAGCUCGUACUCCCCGAAAUGCAUUUAGGUGCAGCCUCGAAGCAGAGUGAUAGAGGUAGAGCGACUGAUAAGAUGCGAGGGCUUCACCGCCUAUCAAGUCUUGACAAACUCCGAAUACUAUCACUUGAUCUUUGGGAGUGAGGGCAUGGGUGCUAAGGUCCAUGUCCGAAAGAGGAACAACUCAGACCACCAGCUAAGGUCCCGAAAUAAGGGCUAAGUUGAAUAAACGAAGUAAAACUGCAAAGACAGCUAGGAUGUUGGCUUGGAAGCAGCCAUUCAUUUAAAGAGUGCGUAACAGCUCACUAGUCGAGGAGUUUUGCAUGGAUAAUAAUCGGGCAUAAGCCCUUUACCGAAGCUGUGGAUGUCGUAAGACAUGGUAGGGGAGCAUUCCGGCGGCGACGAAGGCCGUCCUCGAGGACGACUGGAGCUUUCGGAAAAGCAAAUGUAGGUAUAAGUAACGAUAAAGGGGGCGUGAAACCCCCUCGCCAUAAGACUAAGGAUUCCUGAUCAACGCUAAUCGGAUCAGGGUAAGUCGGGCCCUAAGGCGCAGCCGAACGGCGUAGCCGAUGGAAGAAACGGUAAAGAUUCCGUUACUGGAUAUAGGAGCGAUGUGGAGACGGAGAAGUGACACACCCGCCUGCCGACGGAAGCGCAGGUUAAAGGAAGUAGGUAAACGCCGGGUAGGCAAAUCCGCCUGGCGUGCCGAAGCUGACAGUAUCGAGAGCCCCCGGGCAAUCGAAUAGCGGUGGUAAUCAGGCUCCCAAGAAAAUCCGCUAAGCAAAUUCUAUAUCCACCCGUACCCCAAACGGACACACGUAGUCGGGUAGAAUAUACCAAGGCGCUCGAAAGACUCACGGUUAAGGAACUAGGCAAAUUGACCCUGUAACCUCGGGAAAAAGGGUCCCCAGUAAGAUGGGGCGCAGAGAAUAGGUCCAGGCAACUGUUUAACAAAAACACAGGGCUGUGCAAAAUUUCAAGAUGAAGUAUACAGCCUGACACCUGCCCGGUGCCGGAAGGUUAAGAGGAGAGCUAAUCGCAAGAGAAGGCUUGAAUUGAAGCCCCGGUAAACGGCGGCCGUAACUAUAACGGUCCUAAGGUAGCGAAAUUCCUUGUCGGGUAAGUUCCGACCUG
rnacentral:rRNA from 1 species